rnacentral:rRNA from 1 species
GACGAACGCUGGCGGCGUGCCUAACACAUGCAAGUCGAACGGGGUUUACAAGAAAGCUUGCUUUUUUGUGAACCUAGUGGCGGACGGGUGAGUAACGCGUGGAUAACCUACCUGUAAGACCGGGAUAACACCGGGAAACCGGUGCUAAUACCGGGCGUGCUGUAGGGGGGGCAUCCCCUUUACAGGGAAGGGAGAAAUCCGCUUACAGAUGGGUCCGCGUCCCAUUAGCUAGCUGGUAGGGUAACGGCCUACCAGGGCGACGAUGGGUAGCCGGCCUGAGAGGGUGGUCGGCCACACUGGGACUGAGACACGGCCCAGACUCCUACGGGAGGCAGCAGUGGGGAAUAUUGCGCAAUGGGCGGAAGCCUGACGCAGCGACGCCGCGUGGGUGAAGAAGGCCUUCGGGUCGUAAACCCUACGUUGCAGGGGACGAAGGAAGUGACGGUACCCGUGUGAGGAAGCCCGGCGUAACUACGUGCCAGCAGCCGCGGUAAAGUCACGUCG